rnacentral:rRNA from 1 species
GACGAACGCUGGCGGCGUGCCUAACACAUGCAAGUCGAGCGGAGUCGAUCGACGGAAGCCUUCGGGCGGAAGAUGGUUGACUUAGCGGCGGAUGGGUGAGUAACGCGUGGGCAACCUGCCUCGAAGACCGGGAUAACAGCCCGAAAGGGCUGCUAAUACCGGAUGUGGUCAAAGAUCCGCAUGGAUUUUUGAUUAAAGGGGAAACCCGUUUCGAGAUGGGCCCGCGUCCUAUCAGCUAGUUGGUGAGGUAAAAGCUCACCAAGGCGACGACGGGUAGCCGGCCUGAGAGGGUGACCGGCCACACUGGAACUGAGACACGGUCCAGACUCCUACGGGGGGCAGCAGUGGGGAAUCUUCCACAAUGGGCGAAAGCCUGAUGGAGCGACGCCGCGUGAGCGAAGAAGGCCUUCGGUUGUAAAGCUCUGUCUGGAGGGACGAAGGAAGUGACGGUACCUCCGGAGGAAGCCACGGCUAACUACGUGCCAGCAGCCGCGGUAAAGUACUCUAU